rnacentral:rRNA from 2 species
UACGAAGGGUGCAAGCGUUACUCGGAAUUACUGGGCGUAAAGCGUGCGUAGGUGGUUUGUUAAGUCUGAUGUGAAAGCCCUGGGCUCAACCUGGGAACUGCAUUGGAAACUGGCUGACUAGAGUGCGGUAGAGGGGUGUGGAAUUCCCGGUGUAGCAGUGAAAUGCGUAGAUAUCGGGAGGAACAUCUGUGGCGAAGGCGACACCCUGGACCAGCACUGACACUGAGGCACGAAAGCGUGGGGAGCAAACAGG